rnacentral:lncRNA from 1 species
GUUGGGAAUUGCUUCCAUUUUCAAAUGAGCAGAUAAUACCCAAGCUGCCAGUAGAGAUCAGCAGACCCUGGAUUUGCAUCCCUGUCAGUGGUAUUUAGGGCCAGGGGGGCUCUGGGAUAAAGUUCUUAUUCCUUCAGUUGAUCAGGGAAUCCAUUCCCUUUAAAAUUCAUCUUCCUGAAUGACUCAUUUUUUAGCAUCUUGCAAUGGAGAAGAGGGAACAAUCAAUCAACAAGCAUUUAUAAUAUCAAUAGUUAACAUUUAUGUAACAUUUUGAGAUUUGGGAAGCAUUUUAUAAAUGUUUAGGGACUACUAUUAAUCCAUUUUACAAAUAAGGAACCUGAGGCAGAAAGAGAUUGUGACUGUUGCUCAGGGUCAGAAAGCAAAUAAUUAACAGAGGCAGGAUUUGAAUUCAAUCCUACCAGACACCAGAUCCACAGUUCUAUUCAAUAUACCACUUGGCUUGUGACUAUCUUGCCAGGUAUUAUGCCAGGUGCUAAUGUCACAAAGAAAAGCAAAACCAUUUCUGCCCUAAAAGCUUACAUUUGAUCAGGAAAUUUAAAAAUGUUUAUGUGUAAAUACAGUUGUGCCCCUGUAUCCACUAAUUUGGUACUGGCUGAUGGGUAACCAUAGGGGGAGGAGAAUAAAUGGGAAAAUUGGAAAAAUUCAGAAAAUAAAAAAUAAAUGGUUAUAAGUUUCAAACUGCCCAUCAAGCAGUAGUACCAACUACCUCAAAGUAAGAUAACAUUUAUAGAAUGCUUUGAAAACCUUAAAAUGUGAUGUAAAUGUUAGCUAUUGAUAUUUCAAAUGCUUGUUGAUUGAUGGUGAAGUCCACGGGUCCAGUGUAUGACUCAUCUCUCUUUGUUCUCAUCCCUACACUCUCAUGGAAAACUUUCUUCAGAGCCUCUAGAGAUUUCAAGGAUGGCAUUCACGGUAGCAUCAUUGAAGUGCCUUUGUUUAAGAAAAUUCAUUUCCUGCUAUCAUGGCCCCACAGUGAAAGCAGGGAUGGUGGCAGUGGUACAAUUGUGUCCCUCUCUCUGCUGAUGCGGUUACCUCCAACUAGCAAGCAGGAGUUAGCAAUGACUCAUGGAAAACUUGUGGAACUGCUAAACAUAUUAUACUUUCACCUCAGUUUGCACUGUUAG